rnacentral:tRNA from 1 species
GGAGGUAUAGCUCAAGUGGUAGAGCACAUGCUUAGCAUGCACGAGGUCCCAGAUUCAACCCCCAGCACCUCCU